CAGGCCAGGCCAUUCGCUCCGCAUUGCCUCCCCAGCGGUACUCGGACCUCCACUCGCUUCGCUGGCGUUAGCACAUUCUGUUUUGACCACACCCGGAAGACUUGGGAAGUGUUCCUCAUCCUUAGAGCUGUCUCUUCAAAACCACCUGAAUUAACAACCUAAAAAUGCUUUUGAUGCUGUGGAACUUGCCCACAAUAAAAACAAAAGAAAGAAAAGAAAUCCAGAUAGACUCAGGAAAAGACCUCACUGAAGUCUGACUUCAGCACUACGAGUUCUCAGAUAUCAACCAAGUACUUAAUAAUGCGGGGAGGCUGUUGUUUUGACUUUGGUGGUGGGGAAAGAGCAUUUUGGAGGAGAAUGAUGUGAAUUAGGCUUUGAAGACCAGAAUUGUUCAGCUGCCUAGAAAAGGAACAAGAAGAAACAGAUGGUUGGCCUAACCAGGUCUGGAGAUUGACACGACAGUUGUGAACCAAGAUGAGUGAAAUAAGUCAUUAGGUUGCAGGUCCGGCGAGCACAGUGGGAAGAACUGUUCCUGAGAUUCCUCAGGUAGGUGGCUUGGGACAUCCUGAGAGGCCAGGAAGGCUGGCAAAUGGAGAAAGAGCAAAGGGUAUGGGCCUGAAAAUGUGAAGGAUGGGUCAGAAAAAAGUGAGGUAAUAGGAGAGAGAGACAGAUAGUGGUCAGAGGAAACUUUUCAAGUUUGAGAGUCUCAAAUGUGGAGACGUUACGGAUGAUGGUGAAAACUAAGGUGUGGCGACACUAAGGGAGAUCUGAGGCAGAAUGAGAUGGAGCCACAGAGCUCAAGGCAAAGGAACUGAUAGGUCAGAGAGUUAGAAAGAUUAUCAACAUGGAAUUUGAAUCCCAAGGGAAAAUACACUGGCUAUAGGUGAGAUUUUUUUAUACGACUAAAAACACAUUAAUGUGAUAUUAAAACACAUGAGCAGCUAGAAAAAUACUUGGAAGGAAGACGUUCAACCUUGUUCAUUCAAUAAAUACAUAUUGAGCUGUGGGUUUAAUGUGAAACUAUAUGCAAUAAACAUGAUGUGGUGGAUUCCUCCCAAGCAAUGGUUUCAUUAAGAUUAAGAUUUUGCUUCCCACUGUCAAAGAGUAUAACUUAGCACCUGAUGACCUCAUACUAAAAAUGGAAAAUACAGGGCUUCCCUGGUGGCGCAGUGGUUGAGAGUCUGCCUGCUGAUGCAGGGGACAUGGGUUCGUGCCACGGUCCGGGAAGAUCCAACACGCCGCGGAGUGGCUGGGCCCGUGAGCCAUGGCCGCUGCGCGUCCGGAGACUGUGCUCCGCAACGGGAGAGGCCACAACAGUGAGAGGCCCGUGUACCGCAAAAAAAAAAAAAAAGGAAAAUACAAACUUGGAAGAAAGAAAACGGUAGAAAAGCUAAACCUUGUCACAUCACCAUAUACUUAAAUGAAUGGUUGAACCAAGUAAAUAAUAGUGAUUCCCAGGAAAUUACUCAUAUUCAGCAUGAAACUACUAACCACUCCCUAAUGUUUUGGCUUAGAGUAUAAACUCACACUCAGAGACUCUUUCUACAGUCGAUGAACCCAGACCUGCAGCCUCUCUCACUCGGUUGUCAUAAUACUAGCUUGGUGGUGGGAUAUCUGUAGUCAUGAAUGCAGGAACCACAGUAAACUGGGCUCACUGGUCCUUUGUAGCCCAGAUGGGGACACAGCCACAAUUUUCUAAAGUUCUAAAAAUAGGUUGUUUUUUUAGAGACAAGUACUCUAUUAUAUACACUCAUCAGGAGAUUGUGCAGAGUUUGGGAUGUUGUAAUCAUCCAACUCAAAGAGGAAUUGUUAGCCAGAUGUUGAAAAAUAUAUGCAAAUUGGCUCUGGGAGUACACGUUAUCUCUAAAUCUUCUCAAAGAAUGUUGACCUAGUCCUAAAGCAUUUAUUUACACAUUCUUUUCAAACCAUCUUUAAACUCAGAAGCCCCAUUUUGCAUCACAUAGGUUAGUCCAAUAUAGACAGUGUUGAUAAUUAUUGAAGCUGUGUGAUGGAUAUGAAGAUUUACUAUACUCUUCUCCCUACUUUAAAUAUGUUUGAAACUUUCCAUACUAACAAGUUUUGUUUUAAAGGCAAAAAAGGAGAUAAGUCCUUUUAUUGUGCUUGUAUAGCAAUGAGACCCCUUUCUUGCUUUUCCCCUUCCUGCUGACAUACACUGUAACCUAUCAGAAAUUGCUUAUCCCAGUUCCAUUUUUUCCAGAACAAAUUAGAAUGUACUAACGUUAAGAUUUGAAUGGUAUAACAUCAUUAUUAUUUCAAAUAUUCCUUCACGCUUCAUAAAACUCUUCCAUAUGCUGUCAUUUCAUUUACUUCCAUGGAACUUCUGUACUCACAGGCAUUCUUCCAAAUAGUUGCUAUCCCAAAAGAAAACAGGCUUUAAUCAUUCAGUAACCAAUCUUCAUCGAACAUCUAGUAUGUGCCAUUAUUUUAACAUUAUUUUUAAAUUCCAUGGCUAAAUAUCUUUGUAAGGAAAAAAAUAACACCCAACAGAAAACUUUUAUUUGCUCCAUAAACAUUUAUUAAGCACCCACUAUCUGCAAGGUAGAUACUCCAGUCUUGGCUACCCAUCAUGCUAGGAACUUCUGCAUUGAAGCAAGAAUGGGUGAUGGUUAGUGAGAUGGCCCUUGCAAUGAGGGAAGAGGAGCUUUUUAAAGAAUGCAUAUCUCCAGGCUCUGCACACAGAGAAGUUUAGGUCUGGGUGGUUCCAAAAGGGUUGGGAACCCCUGGUCUAACUCACCAAGUCUGACGGGAACCAGAGCAGACUCUAGUCUUACUGAAGCUGGCACUGCCAUCUAUGGAGUGUAGUUGGUGGGUGUAAAGCAGGCAGGAUACGUGUUUGCAGCUUCAUCCUGAUGCUGAAAAGGAUAAGAAAACAGGGUGCAAGCCUAGAGAAAAACUCAGCAGGAUUUGGACAAGUGGUCAGGACUCGGAGCUGACUGGGCUUAGGUUCAAGGCUGGGCUUUGGUCCUGGUGGAAUUCUCAGCAGGGACCCAGAAAGGAUUGAUUGUAUAUUCAUUCGGUCCCUUUUGUGUAACAGGCACUGUGCAAAGCUCUUUACUUACAAAAUCUCAUUUUAUCCUCAUGACAGCCCUGUGAGACAAGUUGACUUGCCCAAGGUCAGAUGGCCAGUAAGUGGAUGAGUUGUAUUUGAACCUAAGUCUAUUCUGAAUGCAAAACCUAUACUCUUUCUGUCUCUCUGUGGUAUCUACAGGGACUGGGGCAAAGGCUUGCCAGGCUUACACAGGGGUGAUAGCUAGGAAGAUCAUUUGACAGUAAAGGACUCUGCUCACAUGAGGCAUCAGGCAGCUGACUAUUUCCAUCCUCACUCCACUCACUAGUGGUUAAAAUAAAUUCCCAGUGACUCGUGACUGACAGGGUUCUCAUUAUUCCCAGAUUAUGUCCUAGGCAGCGUAGUAAAAUUGGCAAAUUUGUCUUUGUGUCCCCAGCAUCCCCAAUUUUACCUGUUUCUUCCCCAAUCCCUGAGAAGGGGCCUACUGUCCUCAUGAUCUUCACCUCCAUUCACAUCAAGUAGUACAUGUCUGAUGACAGAUGAAAGCAUUUUGCUUUUGGGACCUACUGCUUUCGAACAAAGAGCAGGCAGUUAGAGGAAUGACGUUGAUAUCAGAGGCAGGAGCUAGGAAGGAUUGGGGAGAUAUGCUGAAUUCCCUGAAAUCACACUUGUAGAUAGGUGGUAGCACAUUCAAAUGGAUCCUAUUGCUGCCUGAAGAGGAAUGAUAACAUUUCAGGGGAUGGGAUGAUCAAGAGUCCUGCUGCUCUAGAGAUUCUCUUGAAGUACUUUUCAUCCCACAGUACCAGCCUAUCUGUACAAAGUCCUCAUUUUCACAGGAAACAAUACAUAUGUGUGUGCUUCUCACAGAGAUGGUAAUCAGUGGGCAUAAUCCAUCAAAGCCUCUUUCUUUUGAUAACUGAAGUUAUAGACCCAGACACUGCUUUAUCAAUAUUCCAAAUACCAGUACUGCCCUCCCCUACAAUCAACAGAGUAAACAAGAGUGGCUCUCCUAGUACUCACCCACCACCCUUCAAUCAUUGUUAAUGAGAACCCGAAAUUCUGGAAUUUUCCUCGACUUAUCAAAAUCACUUGUAAGUCCAAAAAUGUUCUGGCAAAUAUUUUUGAUUAGUGGCUAUGAAAUAUGGAUAGAUGGAUGGAUGGGUGGAUGGAUGGAUGGAUAGAUACAUAGAUUGAUUUAGAUUUAAAGGUGGUAGCUUGGGGCUUCCCUGGUGGCACAGUGGUUAAGAACUCCUGCCAAUACAGGGGAUACGGGCUUAAGCCCUGGUCCGGGAAGAUCGCACAUGCUGUGGAGCAACUAAGCCCAUGCGCCACAACUACUGAAGCCCGCGUGCUAAGAGCCCGUGCUCCGCAACAAGAGAAGCCCCCGCUCACCGCAACUAGAGAAAGCUCGGGCACGGCAACAAAGACCCAAUGCAGCCAAAAAUAAAUAAAUAAAAAUAAAUAAACUUUAUAAAGGUGGUAGUUUGCUGAAAGAAUAUAGUAAUGACCUGUAAAUGUGAUAACAUUAAGCUGGAUGACAAUUUUCUGUAUCCUGUAUAUAAAACAGAACAGUAAUUUUAUAAGGCAACAUAGUAAAGUAGACCAAAGGUUUUUUUUUUAGGUUUUUGACCGCACCCCAUGGCAUGUGGGAUCUUAGUUCCCCAACCAGGGAUCAGACCCGUUCCUCCUGCAUUGGAAGUACAGACUCUUAACCACUGGACCGACCGCCGGGGAAGUCCUUUCAUUGCUUAUUAACUGUGCAACUUUUGUAAAUUACUUGACUUCUCUGAGCCUUGAUUUCUGCCAUGAUAAAAUCAAAACGGUAAAACUUGCCUGAAGAAGUUUUUUGUGAGGACUGCGUGUAAUAUAUGAUAUGUUAAGUCCCUAACAAUGUCUGGGACGUAGGGACUCAAACUUUUUUGUUGAAUGAAUAAAUAGUAGAUGCUCAAUACAGGCCAUUUUUGUUAUUUUUUUACAGUAUUUGUCAAACUUCAUAGGCUUUAAACCUGUCUAUACCAUGUUCCUCAUUAAUGCUUUCAUAUUUUAAUUACAAAAGCAAACACAUCUGUUGCAAAAAUUCAGAUUAUAUAAGUGUACAAAUAAAAAGUGAAAGGCCCUACUUCCAUACCUUAGAGGUAACUACUGUUAAGAGUUUGAUAUAUAUUUUUUCAGACCUUUUUCUAGGCCUAUACAAAUAUAUGAUAUAAUUUCUAAACAUGAGUUUAUACUAUACACAGUGUUCUGUAACUUGAGUUUUUUAUAUAAGAUCUUGGACAUCUUUCCAGACGCAGUAUUCUAUUUGUAUGGGUUAGACUGUAAUUUAUUAUACAAAUCUCCUAUAAAUAGACAAUUAUGUUAUUUACUAUUUUUUGCUGUUUCAACCAGUGUUGCAAUAAACAUCCUUAUGAAAAAUUUUUUUGGCAUAUAUGCUAGUUAUUUUUCUAGGAUAAAUUUCUAGAAGAGGAAUAGCCUAGUCAAAGGACACACACACACACACACAUAUAUAUAUAUAUAUAUAUAUAUAUAUUUUUUAACGGUUAAGCUAUAGGUACAGGCUCUUUUAAUUUAUUUUAUUUUUAUUUAUUUUUGGCUGUGUUGGGGCUUCGUUGCUGUGCGUGGGCUUUCUCUAGUUGCAGAGAGCAGGGGCUACGCUUCGUUGCAGUGCGCGGGCUUCUCAUUGCUGUGGCUUCUCUUGUUGUGGAGCACGGGCUCUAGGCACACGGACUUCAGAAGUUGUGGCUUGCAGGCUCUAGAGCGCAGGCUCAGUAGUUGUGGUGCACGGGCUUAGUUGCUCCGCGGCAUGUGGGAUCUUCCCGGACCAGGGCUCGAACCCGUGUCCCCUGCAUUGGCAGACAGAUUCUUAACCACUGCGCCACCAGGGAAGCCCCAGGACACACAUAUUAACUAGACUCUGCCAGCUUGCACGAAGAGUGUUAUGGGCUGAAUCAUGUCCCCUCAAAAUUCACGUUGAAGCCCUAAUUCCCAGUACCUCCGAGUGUGACUGUAUUUGGGCCUUUAAAGGGGGUGAUUAAGUUAAAAUGAGGCCAUUAGGGUGGGCCCUAAUCCAGUCUGACUGGUAUCCUUAUCAGAAGAGGAAAUUUGGACAAAGAGACACCAGGGAUGGGCAUGCACAGAGGAAAGACCAUGUGAGGACACAGAGAGAAGGCACUCAUCUACAAGCCAAGGGGAGAGGCCUUUGGAGAAGGCAGUCACCUUGAUCUUAGGCUUCAAGCCUCAGAACUAUAAGAAAAUAAAUUUCUGUUGUUUAAACUACCCAGACUGUGGUAUUUAUUACAGCAGCCUGAGCAAACUAAUACAGAGGGGUUUUUCUCAAGGUCCUUGUGGCCCUUCUGCUUUGAGCUGAGGUCCGUGUGGUAUAAGCAAGCUGUUCAAGCCACUUGUUCCCUACUUUCUUCAUCCCAUGUUCUCUCUGUCCUUUCCUUUAUUGUCCUCACUCUCCUUGCUCAUUGCAGUUUAUUUAAUAAGGGGUGUUUAUUAUGACCCUUGGGGGAUUUGAAAGAUGUUUGUGAACAAUUUGUUUUUUGAUGUGCCUCAUUCUGGUUGGUAUGGCAUUAAAAUAACGGGAAGAAGAUAUUAAGGUAUUUUCCCAUUGACUUAUCCUCCAUUUUCAUUAUGUGAACUAUGAAACAAAGAAAAUCUUUUCCACAUAAUUUUGCUUACAUUUCUUCCACUGAUUGGCUAGGUCGAGUUCACACACCCCUUGAGACCUCAUUUUAACACAUUCCCUCUCCCUGACCAUCCCUUCCCCCUCAGCCUUCAUUAUAUCUGAUGUGUGUGUUUUUCUGGGAGAAAGUAGGGAGGAAACUUGAAAUUACCCCAGGAUCCACAUUCUGCUCUGCAGCCAUCCUCAGUAACUUUCGCAUAUUUGACAUUCUUUCAAUUUCCUGAAGAAGAGUGACUCACCCAAAAUUACACAGCCACAGUAGAUGGAAUAAUUGGUCUCAAGGUCUCCUAAUAUUUCUUUCUUCCUUCAGCAAUUCCUUUUACUUGUAAAGUGAGAGAUUGCUUUACUGGAGACUGCUGUGUGCUAGAGACAAAAGGAAAGGAAGAGGGAAAGUACCUGCCAUUGACUGAAAAAAGGGUUAUACUUGUAUGAUCUCUUCAUUCUCUGCAUUUUCUUUUCAGAGUACACGUUGGUUGCUUAUGUACCACACCACACCGUAGGUUUGGGGAGCUUGUGCUUACUUUUCCCCAACAGGGUAGUAAUAUAUCUUAGGAGGCUAAGAGUCAGGCCUGCCUCUACUUCGAAGUGAUCAGGAGGGAGAGAGAAGGGUGAGAGGCAGCAAGGAUGAAACAAGAGGAGUAAAGGUGGACCUUCUUCUCUCUGCGCAACCUUGCUAACAGAAGUGUCAGCUAAGCCUUUCACUUGAGUGCCAGGACGAUGCCAAAAGCAAACAAACACAGAAAUCUCAUGGGGAUGUUAAAAAGAAAAACAGAUAAAUCUAUCUGGGGGUGAAGGGGAGAUUGUAUAGGAAAGUGUUUUUUGGUUUUGUUUUUUGCAUGACUUUUUUCUUAAUGUGUUUGUAUGUGUGUAAUGGAAGCUGAGGAUAAAUUAAAGAGCAAAUAUGAAGAUAAUAAUCCUUCCUAUUUGCAAUACUCAAGUUCCAUUUUUGGGCCCUUUUUUGGUGUUGCUUUUUCUACUCUAUUCAGUUUCCUAUGACACAUAUGAACCCUAUAAACAUAUGCAAUUAUUUCCAAAACAUUUUGGUACUUUCCAAAAAAUUUGGGGUGUCUACUAGGUGCAAGGCAUUAUGCUGGGUCUGCACAAAAUAAAAAGAUAGCUAAGCUUCUGUCUAUCCUUAGGGUCUGCAGUCUCAGUGUUCCCGGUGAAUCUGAGGUUCUUGAUGUCUCGUCGCAGUCAGAAUUCAGUGAGAGACAAAGUGAUAGGUAAGAAGUGGAUUUAUUUAGAGAGAAACACACUCCACAGACAGAGUAUGGGCCAUCUCAGAAGGUGAGAUGCCCCGAAAUAUGGCGUGGUUAGUUUUUAUGGGCUGGGUAAUUUCAUAGGCUAAUUAGUGGAAGGAUUAUUCCAAUUAUUUCAGGGAAGGGGUGGAGAUUUCCAGGAAUUGGGCCACCACCCACUUUUUGGCCUUUUAUGGUUAGCCUUAGAACUGUCAUGGCAUUGCUGGGACUGACAUUUAGCAUGCUAAUGUAUUACAAUGAGAGUAUGAUAAGGCUCAAGGUCCAUUAGAAGUCGAAUAUUCUGUCAUCUUGGACCAGGUUGGUUUUAACCAGUUUUUGUCAUGUCCUAUGCCUAUGUCAUUUUUUUCAAGGUUGUGCCCUGCCCACUUCCUUCCUGUUUCAAUAGCAAAAGUAAUUCAUGGUCAUGUUAGCUUAUAGAUUUGUAAAAGCAGCUAAGUUUUAGAAGAGAAAACAUUUUAAUUGUCUAAUGCUCAUUGACAGCAUCUAAAUGUCACUGACGUUUAGCUCAAACCAAAAACAUUUUGAAAUAAUAAGCAAUUAAAUGAACACUUUUAUCAGAAACAAGGAUUUCAGAAUAGUUUGCUCACUUGUAUGUUGUAAAUUGUAAAAGGAAAAGGGUUACACCCACACCAUAUGUGAACUAUAGGACUAUAAAGUGAUAUAAUAUCAUCUGCAAUACAUCUGCUUCAUUUAAAUGCAAAUUCUAACAUUUAUAGUUUCAGUAGUUGGUCUCGUGGCCUUAUACAUAACAUGAAAAAAAUAAUAUUUGAGGAAGUUUUUGAAUUUGUAGGUGGCUGAUGUAGUUAUAAGAUUUCUUCCAAUUCUUUUUUUUUUUUUUAAGAAGAUGUUGGGGGUAGGAGUUUAUUAAUUUAUUUAUUUUUGCUGUGUUGGGUCGUCGUUUCCGUGCGAAGGCUCUCUCUAGUUGUGGCAAGUGGGGGCCACUCUUCAUCGUGGUGCGCGGGCUUCUCACUAUCGCGGCCUCUCUUGUUGUGGAGCACAAGCUCCAGACACGCAGGCUCAGUAGUUGUGGCUCACGGGCCUAGUUGCUCCGCGGCAUGUGGGAUCUUCCCAGACCAGGGCUCGAACCCGUGUUCCCUGCAUUAGCAGGCAGAUUCUCAACCACUGAGCCACCAGGGAAGCCCUCUUCCAAUUCUUAAGAUAUUAGAUUCUAUUAAGACACAAAUGUAGCCUUUUGAAAUAAGAAUUCCAGGAGGAAAUACCUAUAGUUCAACAUUAUUGUUUAAUGCUGUGCUGCUACCAUUUUGGAUACUAAAGAUGGCCAUUAUUUUUGUUUCAUAAAAUGUGUUUAUCUGUUUAUAGUGGUUGACUGGCAAGAUGUUAUCAUUUACUGCCAAAUUUCUAGAAGCAAAUCAAGGGAAAAGAGUAUCAGCUAAAAAGUAAAUAAAUAAAUGAAUCUCAAUCACAAUUCCUUCCAUGAAAUGGAUCACAUCAUGGGUAACAAUCACAAACAUUAUCAUUUGAUCUUUUAUUUUUUUAUCAGACGCAUAAGCAUCUCUCUAAAAUAGGUACCAAUCAAUGUCAAAUGCUUAAAGGUAUAGUACAAGAAAGAGUCUUUAAGUUGUUGGGAGCCUCAUAAAGGGAGUAAUGACACAGUAUUUUAACUAUUACUAAGCAUUUGUCCUCCGCCAGUAAACCUUCAUGGUAAUCCAAUGCAAUUGCUUCACAUAAAGCAAGCACAUUAGUCUGGCACAGGCAUUUGCUUCCUCUCUGAAUUUCCUGUUUUCCUGGAUAUGAGAUCUCUGAGGUCCACCUUCAGGAACUAGUCACUCACUCAGAGGUCUGCUAGGAAAAGUGGUUUUGAGAGGGUAAGUUCCUAUUGCUUAAAGUGACAGCCUUGUUCUAAUGUAACACGUUCCAUCUACACAAACUUAAGUACAAUUCAAUUCACUUUCACAAACCUCUUAUAUAGCAGGAGGCAUUCAGUCAUUGCCAAAGUCAAUAUAUUAAGUCUGGUUGUUGAAGGCAGCUGGUUUCCCAUAAAACCAUGUGUCCCUAUUUCCUAUUUCAGUCAGUUUAUUAUUCAGUGGUAGGAAAUGCCAAAGGGAGUUGGCAACAAUGGCAUUUUCCACUUAUAAUAGAUUUUUUUUCAUGUACUUUGGAUUUUUCUCCAAUAUUGUGCUCAGUGGUAUUUCUACCAUGUAAUCAGAUUGGAUGGCUCACAACGUGGUGAUGACUGGCAAGGAAACCUCAAGGUAAAUGACUUCCUCUAUUCCCUCAAUCCCAGAGGCAACUGUGCUGCCAAUCUUAUUACCAGGGACAUGGAGUCCUCAGAGGAAAGUGGGACUCCCAUCUGCAUUAGAAGUAAGUUUCCAGGAGAGCCCUGGAAUUUGAAAAUUCCUUGAGGCUCCAGUAUUUAACUGAGAUAAAUGAGCCCUCCCGGGGCAGUCUGGAUUCAGACAUCCUAUUUCUGUGCUGCUUUCUCCCCCACUCCCUCCUUGGCUGGUGAGAAAAAGAAAAACUCCUCCUUCUAAGUUUCUCAACUAGAGUGUGAGCGCCAGGAGGACCGAACCGGGCACCAACAGGCUGAGCCAAUACGAGUGUGACCGUGGAGAAUCCGCAGUGGAAGCUGCAGCAGCCGACCUGCUGGCUGUGCCAGGCCACCGGAAAGUGACAGCGCGAGGGCAAUGUCGGGGCAACCAGGGCCUAAUCUCACUUUUCACUCCUAAAGUCAAAGAAGCUGAGGAAACAGGGACGGUGGGGGCACAGACACCUGCCUCAAAUUGUCUCUCCACUUAACUCACAAUGCUGCCAGGUCAGUAGC